rnacentral:ribozyme from 1 species
AAAAGGAAAAGAGAAGAGAGAGAGAGUGCACGAGAGUCCCACUGCCACGUUUCUUUUGUUUCAUUUCUUUUGUUUUUGUUUCGACCCGACUUUUUUUUGUCGGUCGUUUCGCAUCCUUGACAACAAACUUUUCACGAAGAAAAGAAAGGCGCAUUGCGUGCCCCACAAAUGGAAAAGAAAAGAAAAGACAGGAAAGGAAUCGAUGGCUUUUGU